UACGGGGGGGGCAAGCGUUGUUCGGAAUUACAGGGCGUAAAGGGCUCGUAGGUGGCCAACUAAGUCAGACGUGAAAUCCCUCGGCUUAACCGGGGAACUGCGUCUGAUACUGGAUGGCUUGAGUUUGGGAGAGGGAUGCGGAAUUCCAGGUGUAGCGGUGAAAUGCGUAGAUAUGCGGAGGAACACCGAUGGCGAAGGCAAUCCCCUGGGCCUGCACUGACGCUCAUGCACGAAAGCGUGGGGAGCAAACAGG
rnacentral:rRNA from 1 species